GCCUCCGUAGCUCAAUGGACAGAGCACCUGCCUUCUAAGCAGUAGGUUGUGGGUUCGAAUCCCGCCGGGGGCG
rnacentral:tRNA from 1 species